AAAAUAGAAAGGUGUGGUCUACCACCCAUUGUAGGGCCCACCAUCUUCCUAGUGGUGUUGACUUCUCCAUAUGCUUGCCCAUUCAAAUAUCAGAAUUCAAAAGUUGGAGAGAGAGAGAGAGAGAGAGAGAGAGAGAGUCUUGUGGAAGUGAAUUGCAAAGAAUCUAGGAUAAGAAGCAUUUAAGGUCUGAAAGAGGUUUGAGAGAGAGAGAGAGAGAGAGAGAGAUGGUUAAGGAAUGGAAAGAGGAGAUGGCUUCUCAAAAGACAAAGCCUCAGCGGCUGAUGGCGGCGGAUGCGCUGCCGGGUGCGGCGCGGCCUGUGGUGCUUGAAUUGCCCCAUCAAUAUGGAGAUUAAGGGCCCAUUUCCACGUUUCGUGAUCGAUGGAUGGAGCGAUUUUUCAAGGUGUUUUAGUUCACAGUGCCAUUUUCCUUUCUUUCUUGUAAGCCACCUACUCUGAAGAAAAAUCUUCAACUUGGUGUAACAACAUGAUGUGUGAUGGUUAGUAUAGAAUUUUCUACACACUAGUGAUCUAGACCAUUCAUUAGGUCCAAAGAAAAUUUCAUGGGCAGCCAUGAAAGCAUCACAUCAAUCUGACAAAAUAUUAGCAAUGAUCAAUGAUCUUUAAUAUGGAUAGUCAA